rnacentral:rRNA from 1 species
CCUACGGGAGGCAGCAGUGAGGAAUAUUGGUCAAUGGACGAGAGUCUGAACCAGCCAAGUAGCGUGAAGGAUGACUGCCCUAUGGGUUGUAAACUUCUUUUAUAUGGGAAUAAAAUGUUCCACGUGUGGGAUUUUGUAUGUACCAUAUGAAUAAGGAUCGGCUAACUCCGUGCCAGCAGCCGCGGUAAUACGGAGGAUGCGAGCGUUAUCCGGAUUUAUUGGGUUUAAAGGGAGCGUAGGUGGAUUGUUAAGUCAGUUGUGAAAGUUUGCGGCUCAACCGUAAAAUUGCAGUUGAAACUGGCAGUCUUGAGUACAGGAGAGGUGGGCGGAAUUCGUGGUGUAGCGGUGAAAUGCUUAGAUAUCACGAAGAACUCCGAUUGCGAAGGCAGUUCACUGGACUGCAACUGACACUGAGGCGCGAAAGUGUGGGUAUCAAACAGGAUUAGAUACCCCUGUAGUC